UGCCUCCCGUGCGCGCUCCCGCGCAGACGCUGGAUGGCAUGAGGAUGCUGAUGGAUGGCCUUGCAAUGAUUUGAACCCCUAAUCUGGCGUACAAGCGCAUCAUGCUACGGUCACAGCACACAUGAAGCCCUCUUGUGGUCACUCUGGGAACAGCGGAUGAAAGUCUUGUGCCGUGUUCUCAAUCCAUGAUGGUGAGCAGAAUCCAAAGGCAGUCCUGCAGUGUCAGAUAUUCUCUGUGCUCUUCAUACUGUAUCACUCUCUCACACUCAAGAAGUUUCCCCCCGAUCUCUCCAGCUCGAAACUGAAGUGUGACGGUGAUUCAUACAGAGAACCUGAAAAUUAUGAAUGCCACUGAUAAAUGAAACCAUCUUGGCUUUUGUGGAGUCCCGAAGCCACUAUUUGGGCGAGUUUUCUGAGAAGCAGUUACAAUGUGAUGGUGACAAGAAACGGCUGUAACGAUAACGGCGGUUAUUUGAAUAAAUAUUUGGCUAAUAUGGCAAAUAAUAACUCUGAAUCGGUUCCCUUCAAAUGAAUUCACUUCCGUUUUGUAAAACAGAAAUAUGUGGUCGCAGACGCAGACAGAUUUUCUGUGCAAUUAUGUAAAUUUUGGCCUAGUUAUCAAGUCCGAGGUGUCAUUGUUUUUGGAAAUUUACAGAUGCUUGUUUCCGUGAUGUGAGGUUAAACAUAGCACACUGUAGCAGCCGCCUUUCCGUUCAUACGACAAUAAUACCGCAACAAACACACAAAUGCACAAACAUAUUUGGACAGACACCUUUGAGCUCGUGCUGUAGCAACAGGUGAUGCUUGCCAAGUCCUUUCUGAAAGGUUGUGUAGGUGACAACGGAGAGCGUUGGAACACAUUUUGCUCAGUGUUUUUUUGCUUUUGUUUUUUUUUUACGCUGCACCCUCAGACUAAUAAUAUUCCCACAUGUGUCUACUAGUAAAUAAAGUUGCUUUGAAAUCCACAGCUCAUCUUAAAAACGUGUAAAUUAGUGUCGAGCACAGUGCUGUUGUUACAGCUGACCCCAGUGCUUACUAAAACAUCUUUUACGUCUUUUACAUGCAUUUUUUUUAUCAAUUCAUUUAAAAUGUAGUUUUAAAUUGCAAUCUGUGGAAAUAUAGCAGACAUGUCUUGUAAUAAAAUAUAGGCCUGUUUAGUGUUUCUUUUGUGGGCCAAAUAGAAUCACACUGAUGUCUGCAUCAAAUGAAUGGCACUAGUUCUGUCAUUUAACAUCCACACAUCAAAUAAGCUACCUUAAAAUGUUAUUUGAACACAGAUUCUGUCACUUCAGGAGGCUGGUGGUCAUGUAUGAUGAUGUUACAACACUUUCUGGUCUGCUCUAUUCAUUUAAGGUUUCCUCACGUUGCAUCAUGUUUGUAAUUUCUAUAUGGUAACAAUGCAUGUUUGUAUUCCAGUAAUGAAUAAGCAUUCUGACAUUAUUCUGUGUCUGUAGAUGCAAAGUAACAGCCAGAAAGGAUUUCCACACCCAGUCCAGAUGAGUAGCCUAUACAAAUUCGAAUUCUUUCAGAUCACAAUAUCUAAUCAGAAUUGUUUUUAUUUAAAAAAAAUGUAACACUUCGUCUUUAGAAUCAAAACAGUGUGCAGCGUUACUUAUUUCCCCUUCAUCAAAGAGAGGAAAUUCUGAAGCACUACUGGAAAUCUGCAUCGGAGAUGAUGCUAUCUGAUGUAUGUUUAUGUCGAACAAAUGUCAAAUGAACUAUGGUGUAAAAGCUUUCUAAUAACGUGAGCUUCGGGUCGGAUGACUCACAUUUGAAAGGAUUCAUUCGCAUCAUCAUAUCUGGUGCAAAACUCCUGCAGAGCUACAGUUUGAAUAGUUUCUUUUUCCGCAUUGCAUAUUAAAAUAAAAAUCCAUAGGGUAGAUCUUUAUGUUUUUAUCGCGAGAUGGAUGUUUUGAAUCAAUAUCUGCGACUUUUAGUAGCUGGAGAACAGGAUAAAAUAUUGAAAUCAUUUUUAAUGAGAGAAAAUUGUAAUAAAACAUAUUUAAUAUUGUGCUGCGAAUUACAACUUCAUGGCAUAAAUAUCCGCUUUAGCGUGUAUCUAAAUUAACGAUUAAAAUGGAAAGUAAUCUACAACUCCUAAAUCAACACUCGGACAGAACUGAGAUAUAAUUCUAUUAUGCAAACUUUAAAAAUUAACCUACUCGGAAGUGACAGAAAAUGAUUAUAUGAUCAUUAGGCUAUUAUGAAAUAAUAUAGGGUUUGGAAUAUAUUAGCUAACAUCCGCUUCAAAUGCGCGUUUACUUCUUCUUCACAAGAUUGUGUUCCUCUCUAUAUUCAUUUGGUUUUUAAUCUCACACGCGCGUAAUUGAAAACUUAUUGAUCUAUAAACGAGCUUUAAAAAUCAAAUGUUUUCUAGGAUUAAGAUCCGCGAGUGUGU